rnacentral:rRNA from 1 species
GACGAACGCUGGCGGCGUGCUUAACACAUGCCAGUCGAACGGAAAGGCUCCAGCUUGCUGGAGUGCUCGAGUGGCGAACGGGUGAGUAACACGUGGGCAAUCUGCCCUGCACUCUGGGAUAAGCCUGGGAAACUGGGUCUAAUACCGGAUAGGACCUUUCUCCUCAUGGGGUUUGGUGGAAAGUUUUUCGGUGCAGGAUGAGCCCGCGGCCUAUCAGCUUGUUGGUGGGGUAAUGGCCUACCAAGGCGACGACGGGUAGCCGGCCUGAGAGGGUGAUCGGCCACAUUGGGACUGAGAUACGGCCCAGACUCCUACGGGAGGCAGCAGUGGGGAAUAUUGCACAAUGGGCGAAAGCCUGAUGCAGCGACGCCGCGUGAGGGAUGACGGCCUUCGGGUUGUAAACCUCUUUCAGUAGGGACGAAGCGCAAGUGACGGUACCUGCAGAAGAAGCACCGGCUAACUACGU